rnacentral:rRNA from 1 species
GACGAACGCUGGCGGCGUGCCUAAUACAUGCAAGUAGAACGCUGAAGGAGGAGCUUGCUUCUCUGGAUGAGUUGCGAACGGGUGAGUAACGCGUAGGUAACCUGCCUGGUAGCGGGGGAUAACUAUUGGAAACGAUAGCUAAUACCGCAUAAUAGCAGUUAUUGCAUGAUAACUGUUUGAAAGGUGCAAAUGCACCACUACCAGAUGGACCUGCGUUGUAUUAGCUAGUUGGUGGGGUAACGGCUCACCAAGGCGACGAUACAUAGCCGACCUGAGAGGGUGAUCGGCCACACUGGGACUGAGACACGGCCCAGACUCCUACGGGAGGCAGCAGUAGGGAAUCUUCGGCAAUGGACGGAAGUCUGACCGAGCAACGCCGCGUGAGUGAAGAAGGUUUUCGGAUCGUAAAGCUCUGUUGUAAGAGAAGAACGAGUGUGAGAGGGAAAGUUCACACUG